rnacentral:rRNA from 1 species
GACGAGCGCUGGCGGCGUGCUUAACACAUGCAAGUCGAACGGAAAGGCCCUGCUUUUGUGGGGUGCUCGAGUGGCGAACGGGUGAGUAACACGUGAGUAACCUGCCCUUGACUUUGGUAUAACUUCAGGAAACUGGGGCUAAUACCGGAUAGGAGCUCCUGCUGCAUGGUGGGGGUUGGAAAGUUUCGGCGGUUGGGGAUGGACUCGCGGCUUAUCAGCUUGUUGGUGGGGUAGUGGCUUACCAAGGCUUUGACGGGUAGCCGGCCUGAGAGGGUGACCGGCCACAUUGGGACUGAGAUACGGCCCAGACUCCUACGGGAGGCAGCAGUGGGGAAUAUUGCACAAUGGGCGGAAGCCUGAUGCAGCAACGCCGCGUGCGGGAUGACGGCCUUCGGGUUGUAAACCGCUUUCGCCUGUGACGAAGCGUGAGUGACGGUAAUGGGUAAAGAAGCACCGGCUAACUACGUG